CACAAGCAGCGGAGCGUGUGGUUUAAUUCGACGUAACACGAAGAACCUUACCGGGGUUUGACAUGUACAUGUAAUCCCGUGAAAGCGGGACCCCCGCAAGGGGCGUGUACACAGGUGUUGCAUGGCUGUCAUCAGCUCGUGCCGUGAGGUGUUGGGUUAAGUCCCGCAACGAGCGCAACCCUUGUCGCCAGUUGAUCUCUCUGGCGAGACUGCCGAGUUUAACUCGGAGGAAGGCGGGAUGACGUCAAGUCAGCAUGGCCCUUACAUCCCGGGCUACACACACGCUACAAUGGGUGGUACAGAGGGUUGCUAAACCGCGAGGUGGAGCCAAUCCCACAAAGCCAUCCUCAGCUCAGAUUGCAGUCUGCAACUCGACUGCAUGAAGGCGGAGUUGCUAGUAACCGCAGGUCAGCAUACUGCGGUGAAUACGUUCCCGGGGCUU
rnacentral:rRNA from 1 species